rnacentral:rRNA from 1 species
CCCCGAAACUAAGCGAGCUACUCCAGAGCAACUGACAGAACCAACCCGCCCCCGUUGCAAAAGGGUGGGAAGACUUUAGAGUAGAAGUGACACACCUAUCGAGCUUAGAGAUAGCUGGUUAUUCAAGAAAAGGAUUUUAGUCCAUCUUUAAGUUUUUUAAGUACCAUUAAACACCCAACAAACUUAAAAGUUAUUCAAAUAAGGGACAGCCUAUUUGAAAAAGGACACAACCUACAAUCUAGGGUAACGAUCCCCCCGUGGCCAAGUCAGCCUAAAAGCAGCUAACUUCCAGAAAGCGUCCAAGCUUCACCACAAACCCUUACUAAUUCCACAAUUAAUCCAUAACCCACAACCACUACAGAAUAAUCUCAUACUAUAUGAGAAAUAUUAUGCUAGAACUAGUAACAAGAAGAAGAACUUCUCCAAAAUGUAAGCGUAAGCCAUAAUGAACACCCACCGGCAUUUACCGCCACAAACGAAGUAUCAACAUUACAAGAAAAUCAUACUUCAACUGACGUUAACCUUACACUAGAACAUUUCCAGAAAGAU